rnacentral:rRNA from 1 species
CACCGCGGUUAUACGGGGGGCCCAAACUGAUAUUCAACGGCGUAAAGCGUGAUUAAGGAAAAUUAAAAACUAAAGAAGAAGGUCCCCCAAGCUGUUAUACGCUAACGGGAUGACUGAACCCCCACAACGAAAGUGACUUUAAAACUCUUGAACCCACGAAUAUUAAGGAA